rnacentral:rRNA from 1 species
GCUAAGAAUAUUCCGCAAUGGACGAAACUCUGAUGCAGCGACGCCGCGUGAGGGAAGACGGUUUUCGGAUUGUAAACCUCUGUCUUCGGGGAAGAUAAUGACGGUACCCGAAGAGGAAGCCACGGCUAACUACGUGCCAGCAGCCGCGGUAAUACGUAGGUGACAAGCGUUGUCCGGAAUUAUUGGGUGUAAAGGGAGCGUAGGCGGAUUCGUAAGUUGAAUGUGAAACCAAUCGGCUCAACCGGUUGUUGCGUUCAAAACUGCGGAUCUUGAGUGAAGUAGAGGCAGGCGGAAUUCCUAGUGUAGCGGUGAAAUGCGUAGAUAUUAGGAGGAACACCAGUGGCGAAGGCGGCCUGCUGGGCUUUUACUGACGCUGAGGCUCGAAAGCGUGGGUAGCAAACAGGAUUAGAUACCCCAGUAGUCC